rnacentral:lncRNA from 1 species
CGUUUGACAGGGCCUUAGAGGUCCUGUCCCUAUUUCAGCCUGAGUCAGCCUGUGUGAACCUCCUUUGGGAGACAAUCAGUAUACUGAAAUUUGGAGGGUGUAGGCUAGGCAUCAAAGGGGCCCUGCUGUUUUACCAGCACUGGGAACCAGUUAUAGAGACAUAAAGCCCAGGGGUGAUGCAAAGGUACGUGAGGGUCUGCCUGGGCCCUUGGAGAAGUUUCUGGAACAAAUGGGGCAGAAACCCCAGCCUUCACCUAAAGCACCCAUUGGGACUUUGAGCUGCUUCCACAGGGCUUGUGUGUGUGUACUGGUGUGCCCUGCAGAGGUGAGAGGGACCAGGGCUUGUGUGUGUACUGCUGUGCCCCUGUAGAGGUGAGAGGGACCAGGGCUUGUGUGUGUACUGAUGUGCCCUGCAGAGGUGAGAGGGACCAGGGCUUGUGUGUGUACUGGUGUGCCCCUGCAGAGGUGAGAGGGACCAGGGCUGGUGUGUGUGUACUGGUGUGCCCUGCAGAGGUGAGAGGGACCAGGGCUUGAGUAGCCUGAUAGUCCUGUGUCUG